rnacentral:misc_RNA from 1 species
AUGAGUGGUGUUUGGUUUGAUACGGGUGGUCGGCUCCCUGCUUGAGCAGGCACGGCCACGCGUGCAUUCCUUUUCAGUUGUGCGGCAAGGCUUGUAUCGUCUUGAUCGUAUAAGUGGGUUUCUUGUGUUGCAUACCUGAUCAAUGGCAUCGUUUUGAUCAAAAUGGUACCUUUUUCGUCUGACGAUGCACUUAUUGCGUUGUCGGAUGAACCGUGUAGCAUCCUCUUUGAUCCAUACAGUUGACGUGUACUCGUUGAUUGUUUGGCCCGUUGAGGGUGACUUGGUCUCUYGGAUAUGGAAGCCAAAGUGGGCAUGGGUUCGCAAGAUCCCUUUAUUGCCCUCAUUGAGCGUUCUCGCUUCUCUUACACGACUGCCUUUCACGUAUGGCACGUCCCAGCGUGUUUGGCUAUGUCGAAAAGGAA